AAACAUAACCUUGACUAAUUCUGUUUCCUGAUCAGAGAUGAGUACAAGGAAUUUGAAAAGUUGAUUCAAGAAGAUCUGCAAGAGGUGGACAAUCGUAUGGAAGAAGAGGAGAUUGAUGCAGCUGAAAUGAUUGAAGAGGCUGAAUCUUUGGAGCAAAAGGUUUACAAGCAGAAAGUGGAAACAUUGUGGAAGAGGAAACUGGAAUUGGAGACCUCUAGAUCAAAUAAGCGUCAGAGGGGGAAGGAAACUGAUAGACAGGAAUCUAACAGUGAAGAGUCAACUAGUGACAGUGAGAGUGACAGUGAUGAGAACUUUGCAGUUGAUUGGAGAGCUCAACACCUAUGAAAUCUACUGCAAGUACGGAGUUUGUCCUCCUUGCAACUGUGCAUUUUAAUGAGAAGUCUCUUACUAAAAAGGAAAAGUAAUAAAAAGGGAAAAAAUUGGAACGCUGUUUCAAGUUCUAAAAAUUUGGUUUUAGACAUCUGAAAGAAAUCUGCCACAAACUAUAUUAAGAGUGAGAUGAAGAGCCAAGAUCCAAAUACACACUAUCCAGGUUUAUAUGAUGCAAAACAAUUGAACCUUGGUCUAUUCAGCUGAAUUAUAACCUUUCACAGGAGUGAUGCAUACAAGAUGGCUGAUUAGGUUGUGAAAAGUUAUUAUCGACUUUGUUCACUUGUGAUCUUGGUUUACAGGUUCAUAGGUUGGAGAAUUUGUAUUGUGAAACACGGUUUUGUGAGGAGUAUUGUAAUUUUGUCGCAGGCUUUAUUAAUAUAGAUGUAAUGUAAUUCAGCUGAUUCAAAUUUGAACUGGUUUUGCGUCUUCCUUCUGAUUCUGUUGGCAAUAAUAGAUGGUCCCGUUUACCUCCUUUUUAAAUAGAA